ACGUGUUUCAAACAGAGCUUCUACGUUUGCCGGUCGUUAUGCGUUGGUUUGUAUUUUUUUCCUUGGAGAAGAUAUCCAUUGUAUGUUGGCUGUAUCCUAGAGAGAUGAUCUGACAUUGGACAGGAGAACAGGAACACAGACGAGAACCAGGAUCUGAGGGACAGGUGGCAGGAACAGGAACACAACAGGAACCGGACCUCAGGAACUUCAGUGACAGGCAGCAGAUAAACCAAAAUGGCCUAUGUACUUAGAUAGUCAUCAAGUUGUGGACAGAUAAAGCAAAGCAAUCACAAUCUGGCUAGCAGCAUUAAUGGGUCUUGUGUAUCAUGCCAGCCCAAAGAGAUACGUGUAAAAUGCACUGUUAAAAUGAAUACCUGGAAUCUGUAGCUGUUGCCUUGAAGUUACCCGGGAUACAUCAUUAAACCUGUAGCGCUGGGGCUGGGGUUUGCAGACUCUGACUGCUAUGGUUAGUAACUUUGAGAGGCUACAUUUUAAGAGGCUGUCAGGACAGGCCUUCAUGUAAAUUGUACAUCAGCAACGGUUUUACGGCACACAGGCAUAGGGCUUUCAUUAUAGAGCCUUUUCCCUGAAAUGUCUACAGCUACAAAUACUGAACUGUAGCUCUGACAUCAUGAGUGGCUGCUCCCUGUGUUGACUAGCUCUACAUCUACA